GUGGACAAACUGCUCCCCCCAAGCCUCCUCCUCCAGAUCUUCUCCCACACUGCAGCAGGGGAAGGCUUUAAAGGACCCUCCAUGGCAGGGACAGUGUAGUACAGUGGGUAGGGCUUCAGGGUCAGACAACUUAUCCCAUCUCUGAUGCCCACUCACUGUGUGACCUCAGGCCAGUCACUUCUCCCUUCUGAGCCUGUUUGCUUAUGUGAAAAGUGGGAACAACAGCAGCCCUUCCUCCUGGGGGGGGGGGGGGAGUGUUUCAAGGUCCACCUCCAAUGUCCCCUCCUCCAAAAGCCUUCCCUAUCCCCCUUCUAUUUGGGGUUCCUCCACCCCGUCCCUCCUUCCAGCCCAGUGCUGACCUAGGAGCUUGGGGAUGUCUGAGUCCCGUUCCGUGUCUGUGUCUGAGGGGGGCUACUCAGGGCCAGGCCCAGUGUGUGGCAGCAUCAGAGGGGUGUCUUCAUGGGUUUCUUGAAGAACUAGAGCCCUGGAGAGGACCUGAGGGGUGGAGGGGCAUGGGGACCAAGCUUGGGGCAUCCAGAGGCCCGGCUAGGGGAUGUGGCAGGGUUAGGAAGGGGCUUCCCAGGGGCGGAACCCUCUGGGACUGCAAAGCAGAGCUGAAAUAAAAAUCAGGACAAAAGUUUCAUUUCCAUCCUGACCACUGCAGACCAACCAGGCGCCAAUCACUGCCCUCUUGGCUUCUUUUUACCUCAUCCAUGGAUUUGAAAGGGGUGGGGGGCACAUUUUACACAAGUCUGGGAUCCCUUCCAGGUCGCCCCCACGCUCGUGGGUGCUUCAGUGCCCCAGGGCACGGGGAGUUCACUGCCUCUCUCCCAGCUAUCAACCUAUCUCUGCAGCUCUGAAGGGAGCAAGUCCUCGCUUGGGUGAGGAGGGGAGGCGUCCAGCGACCGUCGAAGAGCACGUGAGGGCAGAUGCGAGCUCCUGCUGGGUAACCUGGCCUCGCGGAGCCUUAGUUCGCCCUCUGAAAAAUGAGAGUGAGGGUGUAUGGGGUGAAAAAGGGCGCAGGGUCACAACGCGCCCACCACGACCGGGGGCGAGGGCGGCGAGGCCUGCCGACAAUGACUGCUCCGAGGCCGAGUGCCCGGCCACGGCUUUGUCUCUUGCGCCCCCUGGCGGCAGUCCAGGGCAGGGUAUUCUCCAGGCGGGAAGGCCGAGAACCGGCAUGCAAACGAGAUGCAAAUUAGCCAGCACCCGCGCUAGCCCUCGUACCCUGGGGUUGUGCAGAAUCUGGCAGCCCCGAGUUCCGCUCAGACCUCUUUGCGCAGCUAUUAACUGCUGGCUGAGGUCUCUUCCAGGGGCUUCCGGUGACAGGGAGCCCUGGGAGGGUCUGGGGCCUCCCACUAGCUCACAGCACCUGGGAUGUAGCAUACAAUUAUCUCACUUAGCUGCCCGUCUGUCCAAGGUCUGAGCCCUGGAAUCAGGGCUGGCCCGUCUUGCUCACCAGGGCAUCCCCUGGGCAGGGCUGCAUCCACAGAGGGCAGUCAACGUUUGCUGGAUAAAUGGCUGUAUGGUGGACAGGUAGAAAGACUGAUUGACAAGGAGAGGCAGAGUGACACUGCAGAGGCCACACACCAGUCAGGGCUUCAAAUGGGGUGGACCCGAGGCUCCUCCCUCCCCCUAAACUGAGCUGGUGCAGUGGGGAGGCAGGAUGGUGGCAGAGAGGCCCCCUAUACACCCUAGAAGGAGAGGGAGAGGGCUGACCCCCACUCCCUGGUGGUGCAAGGCAGGCCUUUCUCGACAUCUCCUGUGUCCCUGAACCCUC
rnacentral:lncRNA from 1 species